UGCGUAGGCGGUUGCCUAAGUCAGAUGUGAAAUCCCCGGGCUUAACCCGGGUGGUGCAUUUGAAACUGGGCAUCUUGAGUGCAGGAGAGGGAAGCGGAAUUCCUAGUGUAGCGGUGAAAUGCGUAGAUAUUAGGAGGAACACCAGUGGCGAAGGCGGCUUUCUGGACUGUAACUGACGCUGAGGCACGAAAGCGUGGGGAGCAAACAG
rnacentral:rRNA from 1 species